UACGUAGGCAGCGAGCGUUGUUCGGAGUUACUGGGCGUAAAGGGUGUGUAGGCGGUCGUUUAAGUUUGGUGUGAAAUCUCCCGGCUCAACCGGGAGGGUGCGCCGAAUACUGAAUGACUUGGAGUGCGGGAGAGGUGAGUGGAAUUCCAGGUGUAGCGGUGAAAUGCGUAGAUAUCUGGAGGAACACCCGUGGUGCAGACGGCUUGCUGGACCGUGACUGACGCUGAGGCACGAAAGCGUGGGUAGCAAACAGG
rnacentral:rRNA from 1 species